GGUAACUUGGCGGAGUGGUCUAACGCGCCAGACUCAAGGGUGUUGUGUCUCUAAAAAGAGACUCCCCUUAGACCCGUGCUAAGACGGGUCUAGCAAUUCUGGUCUCGAAAGAGGCGUGAGUUCGAAUCUCACAGUUAUCA